rnacentral:rRNA from 1 species
GGCGGUAUGCUUACACAUGCAAGUCGAACGGAGUAGCAAUACUUAGUGGCGGACGGGUGAGUAACGCGUAAGAAUCUAGCUUCAGGUUCGGGACAACAAUUGGAAACGAUUGCUAAUACCGGAUAUGCCUACGGGUAAAAGGCUUGCUGCCUGAAGAAGAGCUUGCGUCCGAUUAGCUAGUUGGUGGGGUAAAGGCUUACCAAGGCGGCGAUCGGUAGCUGGUCUGAGAGGAUGACCAGCCACACUGGGACUGAGACAAGGCCCAGACUCCUACGGGAGGCAGCAGUGGGGAAUUUUCCGCAAUGGGCGAAAGCCUAACGGAGCAAUACCGCGUGAGGGAAGAAGGCUCUUGGGUUGUAAACCUCUUUUCUCAGGGAAUAAAAAAAUGAAGGUACCUGAGGAAUAAGCAUCGGCUAACUCCGUGCCAGCAGCCGCGGUAAUACGGAGGAUGCAAGCGUUAUCCGGAAUGAUUGGGCGUAAAGCGUCCGCAGGUGGUACAACAAGUCUAGUGUCAAAGACCGGGGCUCAACCCCGGGAAGGCGGUGGAAACUGUUGAACUAGAGGGUCGUAGGGGUAGAGGGAAUUCCCAGUUGUAGCGGUGAAAUGCGUAGAGAUUGGGAAGAACAUCGGUGGCGAAAGCGCUCUACUGGA